rnacentral:rRNA from 1 species
CACGUAGGCGGAUUUGUUAGUCAGGGGUGAAAUCCCGGGGCUCAACCUCGGAACUGCCUUUGAUACUGCAAGUCUUGAGUCCGGAAGAGGUGAGUGGAAUUCCUAGUGUAGAGGUGAAAUUCGUAGAUAUUCGGAAGAACACCAGUGGCGAAGGCGACACACUGGCUCAUUACUGACGCUGAGGCGCGAAAGCGUGGGGAGCAAACA